rnacentral:sRNA from 1 species
UUUGAUAUACCCGUCUUCGUCUAACAUGAGGUAUUUACGUCAAGGGCAAAUAAUGAGUGGUAUUCAAUAAACUUUUUGUUCCCAAAAUAUUGAAGGGCAAAGUAAUCUUUAAACCGGAUAGAUAUUUACACUUGAAUUUUUUCUGAAUUACAUGCCAAUCAUCUAUUCGUAGCACUAAAGAUAUCUUUGUUCAAGAUAACCUUGUUGCAGAACAAAAGCCACCUGUCUUUUUAUAGGGAUAUUUAAAGAUUGCCAUCUCUAAUGAAAGGUACAAGGUUGUCAUGAAAAAACGAAAAAGGUCAGGCACGCAAGGAGAAAUCCCCAAGAAACCAAUCAGAAGUGAAUCUUUAUUCAGCGUGAAUUUGUUUACGGGGAAAACAUAUUUUUGACUCCCGAGUAAAUUCAUUGACACCGGGGCGAUGGCUUUUGAUGGUAAUGGGUCUGAAGGCCGACAAUAGCUUUUUCUCAGCAGGGCCCCAGAAGUCGGUGAUCAGGACAUCGACAUUUGCUAAGCUCACCAGUAAUUACUGUUAGGACCAGGGCUGGGGAUGUCGAGGGCUGUGGGCCGAGUGCCAAUAAUUACAACCUUCUUUCCAAUUGUUAAUUUUAGCCAUUGUGUUCGCGGUUUGGCCUUUGUCGGGUCAUGGACUGAUUUUGAACCCGAAUUCGGACUGAAGAAUUUUGAUGGACUUAAAUGAUACUAUGCAAAUUGGUUUCCCUAUUUCAUGAUAUUUAGAGUCAAUUGAUUUCAGAUUACUCUUUUCAGGGGUUGAACAAGCGGUCAUUAUUACCGAUAUCAGGCGUGGUCACUCGACGGUCAGUUUUCGGACAAAAUAAACAAAGGUUCUUUAUAAAGUAGAGCAUUGCUGACCUUAUCGAAAACCAUUAGAUAAACUUCAAAAUAU